rnacentral:rRNA from 1 species
UACGUAGGGGCAAGCGUUGUCCGGAUUAUUGGGCGUAAAGAGCGUGUAGGCGGCCAGGUAGGUCCGUUGUGAAAACUGGAGGCUUAACCUCCAGCGGUCGAUGGAAACCAUCUGGCUAGAGUCCGGAAGAGGAGAGUGGAAUUCCUGGUGUAGCGGUGGAAAUGCGCAGAUAUCAGGAAGAACACCCGUGGCUAAGGCGGCUCUCUAGUACGGUACUGACGCUGAGACGCGAAAGCGUGGGGAGCGAACAGG